rnacentral:rRNA from 1 species
CCAGGCAGCCAUCUACCCAAGACGCAAGAGUUUGUCUAAUCUUGGAAAGCCAAACAGGGUCAGGCCUGAUUAGUACUUUGAUGGAAGACCACCCAGGAGUAUCCAAAGAAUUGCCAUCU